rnacentral:rRNA from 1 species
UGGGGAAUAUUGGACAAUGGGCGCAAGCCUGAUCCAGCCAUGCCGCGUGAGUGAUGAAGGCCCUAGGGUUGUAAAGCUCUUUCACCGGUGAAGAUAAUGACGGUAACCGGAGAAGAAGCCCCGGCUAACUUCGUGCCAGCAGCCGCGGUAAUACGAAGGGGGCUAGCGUUGUUCGGAUUUACUGGGCGUAAAGCGCACGUAGGCGGACUUUUAAGUCAGGGGUGAAAUCCCGGGGCUCAACCCCGGAACUGCCUUUGAUACUGGAAGUCUUGAGUAUGGUAGAGGUGAGUGGAAUUCCGAGUNUAGAGGUGAAAAUUCGUAGAUAUUUCGGAGGAAACACCAGUGGCGAAGGCGGCUCACUGGACCAUUACUGACGCUGAGGUGCGAAAAGCGUGGGGAGCAAACAGGAUUAGAUACCCUGGUAGUCCACGCCGU